CCCCCCCCCCCCCAGAAAAAGAUCCUUUCGUUGGAGCUUUUUAUCAAAUGAAAGCUGGAAGGGAGGCAUAACACCCGAGGACUGAUUUGCGUUUCCAGUAUUUGUGCCUGUUUCAGGCUGUAAGAUGUUAAUGGGAUGGCAGGAUUUUGUAAUCAUCUUUACUGCACUGAAAUAAAUGACUAGGUAAUGUGAGAAGCAAUGGUGAUUUGAACCCAAUCUUGCAAGCUCGUUCUUAUGCAAAUCAUCUCUGAGGACUCGGGACCUGAGGAAUGCUCAGUCAGAAUUUGGAAGUGAAAACAACGGCAGCUCUGUGACAUCUACACGGCAAGGACCAUGCUGAUCUAACAGCUUGUUGACACAAGAAGGGAGAAGGCCAGUUCCCACCCUUCCCUCCAAAGUUCCCAGUUCAUGACGAUAUAUAGCCUCCCGCUGUAUAUGAGAAUCCUCACACAAGCUCCCAUAGGAGUCCAUAGUACUUCUGUCACUGAUUUCAAUAACAGAAAAGACUGGCUUCAAGAAUACAAGUAAAACAGCUCAUCUGAUCUUUCCUAGGCUCUGUUUGAAGAGACAACAUUUCCACACAGCUGCUCAAAAACAUGUCUGUUUUCCACCCGAGUCUUAAUACCUGAGCUUCAGGGAGUAGCACUGAACAGCAGCACAGGGUCUUUGGCUUAUUUGCAUGAAUUAAUCACAGGAACACAGCUUCCAGAUUAGAUGGCAUUGUCCCAAAGGGUUAAUGCCUUACAUGCUCAGAUGGAUGCUGCCCAAAAGCGCAGUGCCUUGGAUGUGCACUGAGAAUGAAAGAAACUGGAAGUUCCGUCGCACACAAUUAUGGAGAACAAAGCUCCAGCCUUUUAAAUUAAAAUUCUUGAACACCAGAUGUGUAGACACGAUGUAUUUAUUUUUGACCUUCCAAUUUAAGAGGGAAAAGAGAACUGGCUAAAUUAAUCCCUGGUGUAACCUAGUUGACAUCACUGGAGUUACCCUAGGAAUAAGCUUGAAUUUGCUACAUCUUAGACACAAUGACAUAAAUGACUUCAAAAAAUUCAUACCACUUUGGAUCUAACACAAGCUUAGGAAUGACCUAUGCAGUAGAUCUAAUUAGACGGAUUUGAGGUUUUGGCCUUUUAAUGAGAAAGUAGGCUUCACCGUGCAAUUGUUAACUUGCCUCUAUAAACAUGUUUAUUAACAGUUGUACAGAGCACCCUGCUAAUUAAUGAAAGCCUUGCGCUUGAUUUUGAAAAUUAUUAAAGUUAAUAC